UUUGGAGCUCACUGACUUCGGAGUCAUGGGAACUCCGAAGUUAAGCGAGUUGGGGCUAGAGUAAUCUCAGGAUAAGUGAUUCUCUAGGAAGUUGCUCGUGAGUUCCCAGA
rnacentral:rRNA from 1 species